UGGCUUCACAGUUGUAUUAAAACUUUGUGUC
rnacentral:piRNA from 1 species